rnacentral:rRNA from 1 species
UACGAAGGGGGCUAGCGUUGCUCGGAAUCACUGGGCGUAAAGGGUGCGUAGGCGGGUCUUUAAGUCAGGGGUGAAAUCCUGGAGCUCAACUCCAGAACUGCCUUUGAUACUGAGGAUCUUGAGUUCGGGAGAGGUGAGUGGAACUGCGAGUGUAGAGGUGAAAUUCGUAGAUAUUCGCAAGAACACCAGUGGCGAAGGCGGCUCACUGGCCCGAUACUGACGCUGAGGCACGAAAGCGUGGGGAGCAAACAGGAUUAAGAA